rnacentral:rRNA from 1 species
GGAAACAGUUUUUUCUUCGGACGUCUUUCAAGGUGCUGCAUGGUUGUCGUCAGCUCGUGCCGUGAGGUGUCAGGUUAAGUCCUAUAACGAGCGCAACCCCUGUCGUUAGUUGCCAGCGAGUCAUGUCGGGAACUCUAACGAGACUGCCGGUGCAAACCGCGAGGAAGGUGGGGAUGACGUCAAAUCAUCACGGCCCUUACGUCCUGGGCCACACACGUGCUACAAUGGCCGGUACAGAGAGCAGCUACUAGGCGACUAGAUGCGAAUCUUCAAAACCGGUCUCAGUUCGGAUCGGAGUCUGCAACUCGACUCCG